AACUAUACUGUUGAAACUUGGUAACUAGAUGUAUUCUGUGAACCGCAUUAAGAUUUUCACACAAAAAUAGAAAAAAAAAAAACAAUAAACUUUGGGGGGAUAGGUCUUUAAAAAUGAUAUUGAGGUUUCUAAUAUCAUUUUUUUCUAAAGUGAAUAGUUUGCGCGAGAAACACUUCCAAAGUGGUAAAAUGUGUCCCACCCCCCUGUAACUUCUAAAAUAAGAGAAAAAAAUAU